GUUGGGAUAGCUCAGUUGGUAGAGCAGAGGACUGAAAAU
rnacentral:tRNA from 2 species